AACCAUGCAAUCACCGGUGGGAGGAGUCGACUGAAAUUGCCGGCGGAAGGAAACUAGUGAAUCGCCGGCGAGAAGGGUUCGAGAGCAAUUGAUGAUUAGAGUGAGAGGACUCGAGUUAAAUCGCCAGAGGCUAAACCAAGGGUGAGAGGACUCGAGUUAAUCGCCGGCAGAAGGGUUCGAGAGCAAUUGAUGAUUAGAGUGAGAUGACUCGAGUUAAAUCGCCAGAGGCUAAACCAAGGGUGAGAGGACUCGAGUUAAUCGCCGGCGAGAAGGGUUCGAGAGCAAUUGAUGAUUAGAGUGAGAUAACUCGAGUUAAAUCGCCAGAGGCUAAACCAAGGGUGAGAGGACUCGAGUUAAUCGCCGGCGGGAGGAAUGGACUGAAUCGCUGAUGU